GAUGAACGCUGGCGGCGUGCCUAAUACAUGCAAGUCGAGCGAACGGACGAGAAGCUUGCUUCUCUGAUGUUAGCGGCGGACGGGUGAGUAACACGUGGAUAACCUACCUAUAAGACUGGGAUAACUUCGGGAAACCGUAGCUAAUACCGGAUAAUAUUUUGAACCGCAUGGUUCAAAAGUGAAAGACGGUCUUGCUGUCACUUAUAGAUGGAUCCGCGCUGCAUUAGCUAGUUGGUAAGGUAACGGCUUACCAAGGCAACGAUGCAUAGCCGACCUGAGAGGGUGAUCGGCCACACUGGAACUGAGACACGGUCCAGACUCCUACGGGAGGCAGCAGUAGGGAAUCUUCCGCAAUGGGCGAAAGCCUGACGGAGCAACGCCGCGUGAGUGAUGAAGGUCUUCGGAGCGUAAAACUCUGUUAUGAGGGAAGAACAUAUGUGUAAGUAACUGUGCACAUCUUGACGGUACCUAAUCAGAAAGCCACGGCUAACUACGUG
rnacentral:rRNA from 1 species